UGGGAGAUCGUCUAACGGUAGGACUACAGAUUCUGGAUCUGUAUAUCUAGGUUCGAAUCCUAGUCUCCCAG
rnacentral:tRNA from 1 species